rnacentral:lncRNA from 1 species
CUGCCCUGCACUGGGUGCUGGGGACAUGGGGAUGAGUCAGACCCCCUACUACCAUUUCCUCCCCUGCCUGGGCUCAGGAAACCCUGUGCCUGGCCACCCCUCCCAUCUACUUACUCCCUGGGUGCACCAGGGACAGACAGAGACAGGCUGACACGGGCCACAGUGCCACCCCCAUCACGAAGCCCAGCUCAGCCCCCGGAUUCCUGUCCAGGGCUGGGCAGUGAGCUUCUUCAGAGCUGAGGUUCUUCUCUGCCACCCCCUCCUGUCUUGCAGGUCUCAAACCGCGUCAGGCCCCUCGAGAGCUCCUAUGGAUCAACAGUGUCUGGGGAGAGCCAGAGCCCCGGGACAGAUGCAGGGCUGCCUAAGACCCUCAGAUGGCCCACCUGAUGCAGAGUCAACCAUUCAAUCUAGUCCAAGCCUGAACUCUUGGGUUCUGGGUCUGUGGGGUGUCCAGAAUCCUGGAGUGGGAUGACUGAGGCUUAGGGGUGCCCCUGCCUGGGCUGCUCAGCCAGCAGGUGUGAACAAGGGUUCCUGCCUCCCAAGUCACAGAGGGAGAGAAACUGAGGCACCGGAAGACCUGCUUCUCUCCUCCACAGGACUCCACAGGAAUCUGGGGCUUGAAACUUGGGCCUUGGUUCCCUGCCCUGUAGCCCUGAUAGGUUCACACAUGAAGGGAAGGUUCUCAAUGCACCAAGGAGCAGGAUGUGGCCUUAGGGACUAGAGGGAGCUCGGGGCAGGGGCUGGGCUCGCUGCAUUGGUAGACAGGGGCACAAAAGGGGGCCAGAGGGUCUGGCUAGAUGUUCCAGGGAGGUUCUGAGAAGCGGAGUGGGCUGGGAGGCAGUCAGCCAGAACUUCCCCUCCCCCUCCCACUGCGGUCCCAUCCCUCCAGAACCCAGCACCAGGAGGAGUGGUGGCCCUGCAGGAGGGGCAGGGGUCGUCCAGGAAAAGACAGGGAGUUGGUUAGAUGGAGGAGCAGACCUCCAAAACCAAUGUAGGGGUGGGGGCAGAAGAAGAUAUUAUGGGGUGUAUGUCAAUUCCACCCCAGAGGGCUCCUUUCGGUCAAGUGGGGGUGAGGUCACUCUUUGAGGGGGCGAGGUCAGAGAGGCACAGCUCCAGGGUUGGGGGGACAUAGUGCUGAGGAGCCUCAGAGGGCUGGUGGGAUGCAGUUCACAGCACUAGAAGGGUCUCAGAGAGCAGAGGUGACCGGUGGCAGGGAUGUCAGCUUCAAGAAGGUUCCAGCCCCAGGAGAGCAUGCUAGGGAGGGGGGUCCCAGCCCCAAACAGGAGAGCAGUCACUAGGCAGCAUUGUGGAAAGCAGGUGGCAGUCUCCAAGGGGAUCCAGGCUCGAAAGUGGUCCUACCCUCAUGGAAGCACAGUGGGGAGGUCCCAGCUCCUAGAAGUCAUGGGGGAUGGCGCCAACCAGAAGGGCACACAGGGGGUCUUGGUCUCUAGGCGGGGGUCACAGAUUCUGGGAAGCAGGCUGGGGUCCAGCCUCAAGAGGUACGGAAGGUCCUAGAAGGCACACCGGGGGUCUGGGCCUUGAAUGGGGUUGUAUCCCGCUUGGGGUUCUGGGGAAGCAAAGUAGAGGGUCCCCAGACUCGGGAAGUUUGCUGGGGGCGAGAGUGUCACAAUUUAGGGAAAGUUCCGGGUCCUGGAAGGCUCAAAGGAGUCCGGACCUGGAAGGGGAC